AUAAAGUUUUAUUCUUGCUUUUUGUUAAGUAUUUAUAUUUUAUAAAUAUAUUUAUAUAUGGAUUAAGAUUUGUAUUAUAUAAAUUUAAUAAAAUAAAAAUUUAUGUAUUAGAAAUAUAAUUAAAAAUAGUGAAAAUUGUGCCAGCAACUGCGGUUAUACAAUUAUUUUAACUUAAUAUUUAUAUAAAUUUUAUUUUUUGUAUUAAAAUAAUAAUUUUUAUAUUUAGGGUGAAAUUUAAUAUAAUUAAUUUAUAAAGAGUUAUUUAUUUAAGUAAUCUAAUUUAAUAAACUAGGAUUAGAUACCCUAUUAUAAUUAGUGAAAAUUAAGUUUGAGGUAGUAAAUGAUAUGAUCAGGAAACUUAAAGAAUUUGGCGGUAUUUAUUCAAAAUAGAGGAACAUGUUUUUAAUCGACAAUCCACGUAAAUCUUUCUUAAUUUAAUUAUUUUGUGUAUUUCCGUCUUAAAAAAGUUUUUAAAAAUAUAUUUUAAUUUUCUUUAUAGAAAAAAGUCAGGUCACAAUGCAAAUUAUAAUUAAGUAAAAAUGUGUUACAAUAAAUUUAUUUAUGGAAAAUAAAAUGAAAAUGGUAUUUGAAACUGGAUUUAUUAGUAAAAUAUUUUUUAUAAAAAAUAUUUGAACUUAGAAAGUAAAUAUGCACAUAUUGCCCGUCAUUCUCUUUGAAGAAGAGACAAGUCGUAACAAAGUAGAUUUACUGGAAAGUGAAUCUGGUGUCAA
rnacentral:ncRNA from 1 species